CUGCUGGCACGUAGUUAGCCGUGACUUUCUGGUUGGAUACCGUCACUGCGUGAACAGUUACUCUCACGCACGUUCUUCUCCAACAACAGAGCUUUACGAGCCGAAACCCUUCUUCACUCACGCGGUGUUGCUCCAUCAGGCUUGCGCCCAUUGUG
rnacentral:rRNA from 1 species